GACAAACCGGAGGAAGGUGGGAUGACGUCAAAUCAUCAUGCCCCUUAUGAUUUGGGCUACACACGUGCUACAAUGGACAAUACAAAGGGCAGCGAAACCGCGAGGUCAAGCAAAUCCCAUAAAGUUGUUCUCAGUUCGGAUUGUAGUCUGCAACUCGACUAUAUGAAGCUGGAAUCGCUAGUAAUCGUAGAUCAGCAUGCUACGGUGAAUACGUUCCCGGGUCUUGUACACACCGCCCGUCACACCACGAGAGUUUGUAACACCCGAAGCCGGUGGAGUAACCAUUUGGAGCUAGCCGUCGAAGGUGGGACAAAUGAUUGGGGUGAAGUCGUAACAAGGUAGCCGUAUCGGAAGGUGCGGCUGGAUCACCUCCUUUCUAAGGA
rnacentral:rRNA from 1 species